GAUGAACGCUAGCUACAGGCUUAACACAUGCAAGUCGCGCGGCAGCAUGGGGGUUGCUUGCAAUCCCUGAUGGCGACCGGCGCACGGGUGAGUAACGCGUAUCCAACCUGCCCUUCACCACGGGCUAACCCGGCGAAAGUCUGACUAAUACCGUAUGUUGUCCAUUGACGGCAUCCGAGUGGGACGAAAGGCUUAGCGGUGAGGGAUGGGGAUGCGUCCGUUUUGCUUGACGGCGGGGUAACGGCCCACCGUGGAUCCGAUCGGGAGGGGUUCUGGGAGGAGGCCCCACCGCAAUGGAAACGAGGCACGGACCAGAACGCGACGGGAGGCAGCAGUAAGGAAUAUUGGGCAAUGGGCGUAAGCCUGAACCCGCCAAGUAGCGGACAGGAUGACGGCGCUCUGGGUUGUAAACUGCUUUUAUGCGGGGAUAAAGGAACCCACGUGUGGGUUUUUGAAGGUACCGCAUGAAUAAGGACCGGCUAAUUCCGUG
rnacentral:rRNA from 1 species